UACGUAGGUGGCAAGCGUUAUCCGGAAUUACUGGGCGUAAAGCGCACGCAGGCGGUCUUUUAAGUUUGACGUGAAAGCUCCCGGCUUAACUGGGAGAGGUCGUUGAAUACUGGAAGACUUGAGGCAAUGAGAGGGGUGUAGAAUUCCCGGUGUAGUGGUGGAAUGCGUAGAUAUCGGGGGGAAUACCAGUGGCGAAGGCGGGAUCCUGGGCCAGUACUGACGCUGAGGAGCGAAAGCGUGGGGAGCAAACAGG
rnacentral:rRNA from 1 species